UACGAAGGGGGCUAGCGUUGUUCGGAAUUACUGGGCGUAAGGCGCGCGCAGGUGGUCUUUCAAGUCAGUGGUGAAAGCCCGGAGCUCAACUCCGGAAAUGCCAUUGAAACUGUAAGACUUGAGGAUGAGAGAGGUGAGUGGAAUUCCCAGUGUAGAGGUGAAAUUCGUAGAUAUUGGGAAGAACACCGGUGGCGAAGGCGGCUCACUGGCUCAUAUCUGACGCUCAGGCGCGACAGCGUGGGGAUCAAACAGG
rnacentral:rRNA from 1 species